ACUAAGUUUCAACAACGGAUCUCUUGGCUCUCGCAUCGAUGAAGAACGCAGCGAAAUGCGAUAAGUAAUGUGAAUUGCAGAAUUCAGUGAAUCAUCGAAUCUUUGAACGCACCUUGCGCUCCUUGGUAUUCCUUGGAGCAUACCUGUUUGAGUAUCAUGAAAU
rnacentral:rRNA from 3 species